ACUUCUCCUAGAGGCAUUGCAGAUGUGGGUGCUGUGUCACAUUUGUGUCAUUAGGUGACAGAGAGAGGAGAGGCUAUGUCUACAUUCAGUGUUCUGACCCAUGAAUGUUUGAAUGAUUAAUAGUCUGCCAUA
rnacentral:snoRNA from 12 species